AUUAGGGUGGCAGAGCCAGGUAAUUUGCAGGGGGCCUAAGACUCUCUUACAGAAGUUCAAAUCUUCUCCCCAACA
rnacentral:tRNA from 1 species